rnacentral:rRNA from 1 species
UCGGUCCUACGGGGCGCAGCAGUGGGGAAUAUUGCACAAUGGGGGAAACCCUGAUGCAGCGACGCCGCGUGAGCGAUGAAGUAUUUCGGUAUGUAAAGCUCUAUCAGCAGGGAAGAAAACGACGGUACCUGACUAAGAAGCCCCGGCUAACUACGUGCCAGCAGCCGCGGUAAUACGUAGGGGGCAAGCGUUAUCCGGAUUUACUGGGUGUAAAGGGAGCGUAGACGGCAAUGCAAGCCAGAUGGGAAAGCCAG